rnacentral:rRNA from 2 species
UCGUCACACUAUCAUUAACUGAAUCCAUAGGUUAAUGAGGCGAACCGGGGGAACUGAAACAUCUAAGUACCCCGAGGAAAAGAAAUCAACCGAGAUUCCCCCAGUAGCGGCGAGCGAACGGGGAGGAGCCCAGAGCCUGAAUCAGCAUGUGUGUUAGUGGAAGCGUCUGGAAAGGCGCGCGAUACAGGGUGACAGCCCCGUACACAAAAGCGCAUGUGCUGUGAGCUCGAUGAGUAGGGCGGGACACGUGGUAUCCUGUCUGAAUAUGGGGGGACCAUCCUCCAAGGCUAAAUACUCCUGACUGACCGAUAGUGAACCAGUACCGUGAGGGAAAGGCGAAAAGAACCCCGGCGAGGGGAGUGAAAAAGAACCUGAAACCGUGUACGUACAAGCAGUGGGAGCACAGGUUUACCUGUGUGACUGCGUACCUUUUGUAUAAUGGGUCAGCGACUUAUAUUCUGUAGCAAGGUUAACCGAAUAGGGGAGCCGGAGGGAAACCGAGUCUUAAUUGGGCGUUAAGUUGCAGGGUAUAGACCCGAAACCCGGUGAUCUAGCCAUGGGCAGGUUGAAGGUUGGGUAACACUAACUGGAGGACCGAACCGACUAAUGUUGAAAAAUUAGCGGAUGACCUGUGGCUGGGGGUGAAAGGCCAAUCAAACCGGGAGAUAGCUGGUUCUCCCCGAAAGCUAUUUAGGUAGCGCCUCGUGAAUUCAUCUCCGGGGGUAGAGCACUGUUUCGGCUAGGGGGCCAUCCCGGCUUACCAACCCGAUGCAAACUGCGAAUACCGGAGAAUGUUAUCACGGGAGACACACGGCGGGUGCUAACGUCCGUCGUGAAGAGGGAAACAACCCAGACCGCCAGCUAAGGUCCCAAAGUCAUGGUUAAGUGGGAAACGAUGUGGGAAGGCCCAGACAGCCAGGAUGUUGGCUUAGAAGCAGCCAUCAUUUAAAGAAAGCGUAAUAGCUCACUGGUCGAGUCGGCCUGCGCGGAAGAUGUAACGGGGCUAAACCAUGCACCGAAGCUGCGGCAGCGAC